CUGGCGGCGUGCCUAAUACAUGCAAGUAGAACGCUGAAGAGAGGAGCUUGCUCUUCUUGGAUGAGUUGCGAACGGGUGAGUAACGCGUAGGUAACCUGCCUGGUAGCGGGGGAUAACUAUUGGAAACGAUAGCUAAUACCGCAUAAAAUGGAUUAUCGCAUGAUAAUCCAUUGAAAGGUGCAAAUGCAUCACUACCAGAUGGACCUGCGUUGUAUUAGCUAGUUGGUGGGGUAACGGCUCACCAAGGCGACGAUACAUAGCCGACCUGAGAGGGUGAUCGGCCACACUGGGACUGAGACACGGCCCAGACUCCUACGGGAGGCAGCAGUAGGGAAUCUUCGGCAAUGGACGGAAGUCUGACCGAGCAACGCCGCGUGAGUGAAGAAGGUUUUCGGAUCGUAAAGCUCUGUUGUAAGAGAAGAACGAGUGUGAGAGUGGAAAGUUCACACUGUGACGGUAUCUUACCAGAAAGGGACGGCUAACUACGUGCCAGCAGCCGCGGUAAUACGUAGGUCCCGAGCGUUGUCCGGAUUUAUUGGGCGUAAAGCGAGCGCAGGCGGUUAGAUAAGUCUGAAGUUAAAGGCUGUGGCUUAACCAUAGUACGCUUUGGAAACUGUUUAACUUGAGUGCAAGAGGGGAGAGUGGAAUUCCAUGUGUAGCGGUGAAAUGCGUAGAUAUAUGGAGGAACACCGGUGGCGAAAGCGGCUCUCUGGCUUGUAACUGACGCUGAGGCUCGAAAGCGUGGGGAGCAAACAGGAUUAGAUACCC
rnacentral:rRNA from 1 species